CGCCUCUUGCAUGAUUAAGUAUAAGAGGUCCCGCCUGCCCUGUGACUAUGUGUUUAACGGCCGCGGUAUUUUGACCGUGCGAAGGUAGCGCAAUCACUUGUCUUUUAAAUGAAGACUUGUAUGAAUGGCACGACGAGGGCUUAACUGUCUCCUUCCUUCAGUCAAUGAAAUUGAUCUACCCGUGCAGAAGCGGGUAUAUAACCAUAAGACGAGAAGACCCUAUGGAGCUUUUAGACGCAUAGGAAGGUUACGUUAAAAACCGCAGUCAAACGAUUAAACCCAGUAAAUACUUCCUAAAUAUCUUUGGUUGGGGCGACCACGGGGAAAUAAACAACCCCCACGAGGAAUGAGAAUAAAUUCUUAUAUUUAAGAACUACCGUUCUAAAAAUCAGAAAAUCUGACCGCAUGAUCCGGCAAGCCGAUCAACGAACCAAGUUACCCUAGGGAUAACAGCGCAAUCCCCUUUUAGAGUCCCUAUCAACAAGGGGGUUUACGACCUCGAUGUUGGAUCAGGACAUCCUAAUGGUGCAGCUGCUAUUAAGGGUUCGUUUGUUCAACGAUUAAAGUCCU
rnacentral:rRNA from 1 species